rnacentral:rRNA from 1 species
CACCUCUUCCCAUUCCGAACAGAGAAGUUAAGCCCGCCUGCGCAGAUGGUACUGCAAUUUGUGGGAGAGUAUGUCGCUGCCUUUC